rnacentral:rRNA from 1 species
ACCUUCGGGCCUCUCGCGUCAGGAUAUGCCUAGGUGGGAUUAGCUAGUUGGUGAGGUAAUGGCUCACCAAGGCGACGAUCCCUAGCUGGUCUGAGAGGAUGAUCAGCCACACUGGAACUGAGACACGGUCCAGACUCCUACGGGAGGCAGCAGUGGGGAAUAUUGCACAAUGGGCGCAAGCCUGAUGCAGCCAUGCCGCGUGUGUGAAGAAGGCCUUCGGGUUGUAAAGCAACUUUCAGUCGUGAGGAAGUAGUGUAGUUAAUAGCUGCAUUAUUUGACGUUAGCGACAGAAGAAGCACCGGCUAACUCCGUGCCAGCAGCCGCGGUAAUACGGAG